ensembl:lncRNA
GACUGAGCGGGACAGCAAGCAAAUUCUGGGUCCUUUCUUCAGCUUCCAUCGAACCCGAUCGAACCACAGAAGUGAAGGUCCUCACGUGCAUCCUUUACAAGCAGAGGCUCGCUGAUAGACGACUCUGUUACCAGUUCUAGGGCUGACGCACCCACCCACGUCCCCACCCCCGGUGUAUCCUUUACAGCUUAUGCGUGCCAAAGGAGGAGCUGCUGGUUCCAAGAUGAGACCUUUGCUGGACACUUUGAAUGACACACAGAGCAUUGAGAAGAAAAGGGAUGUUGUUAUCUGCUGCCUCAUUAGCUACCUCGGGGAAAGACAAGAAGAUCUUUUUCAUGACUGCCAGGAAUGUGAGGAUUACACAGACAAUAUGAUGAAGGUGAUCGUGAUCCACAACAUCAUGGCUGAGGAGGAUCCAACAGAUGUGUUCAUUGUGAUUGAGGGAAACCAAGUGAUGGAGGGAUGUGGAAGCCGAACAAAGGCAUGUGUACUGCUGAUGGGACUGAUAUAUGCCCUCAACCUCGAAUAUCCGAAGGAGCUGAAGAACACAUUUGACACCUUUCAAAAACUGUUUUUGGAACUUGACGGGACGAAACUACUGAACAAGGUCCACGGCCUCAAAAAUAAGCUUAUGCAAUGCACACACAUUUCCCCUCUUGUUCCCAGAGGAUCUUUUGUCCAGACAUAGCUUGAUGAAGCUGUAAUUUUUCUUCUGACAGCAAGCACAGAAACUAUUGAAUGUUGGUGUUAGUGUUCUGUUC